rnacentral:rRNA from 1 species
UCAACGAGUCGGGUUGUUUGGGAAUGCAGCCCAAAUCGGGAGGUAGACUCCGUCCAAGGCUAAAUACAGGCGAGAGACCGAUAGCGAACAAGUACCGCGAGGGAAAGAUGAAAAGGACUUUGAAAACUGAGUCAAAGAGUGCUUGAAAUUGCCGGGAGGGAGGCGGAUGGGGGCCGGCGAUGCGCCCCGGCCGUAUGCGGAACGGCUCUUGCUGGUCCGCCGCUCGGCUCGGGGUGUGGACUGUUGUCGGCCACGCCGGCGGCCAAAGCCCGGGGGCCCCAAUCGCCGGCGGCCAAAGCCCGGGGGCCCUAGGUGCCCCCGGUGGCCGUCGUCGGCAAGGCCGGUACCCGCGCGCCGAAAGGCGUGUCCCUCGGGGCACUGCGCUGCAACGGCCUGCGGGCUCCCCAU